rnacentral:rRNA from 1 species
GCUAMMUGCAAGUCGAGCGGCAGCGACAUGAUAGAAGCUUCGGUGGAAAUCAUGGGCGGCGAGCGGCGGACGGGUGAGUAAUGCCUGGGAAUAUGCCUUGAUGUGGGGGAUAACUAUUGGAAACGAUAGCUAAUACCGCAUAAUGCCUUCGGGCCAAAGAGGGGGACCUUCGGGCCUCUCGCGUCAAGAUUAGCCCAGGUGGGAUUAGCUAGUUGGUGAGGUAAAGGCUCACCAAGGCGACGAUCCCUAGCUGGUCUGAGAGGAUGAUCAGCCACACUGGAACUGAGACACGGUCCAGACUCCUACGGGAGGCAGCAGUGGGGAAUAUUGCACAAUGGGCGCAAGCCUGAUGCAGCCAUGCCGCGUGUGUGAAGAAGGCCUUCGGGUUGUAAAGCACUUUCAGCAGUGAGGAAGGCGGGUACGUUAAUAGCGUAUUCGUUUGACGUUAGCUGCAGAAGAAGCACCGGCUAACUCCGUGCCAGCAGCCGCGGUAAUACGGAGGGUGCGAGCGUUAAUCGGAAUUACUGGGCGUAAAGCGCAUGCAGGUGGUUUGUUAAGUCAGAUGUGAAAGCCCGGGGCUCAACCUCGGAACAGCAUUUGAAACUGGCAGACUAGAGUACUGUAGAGG